UUGCUCUUAUUUGGUCAGCGGCGGACGGGUGAGUAACACGUGGGCAACCUGCCCGCAAGACCGGGAUAACUCCGGGAAACCGGAGCUAAUACCGGAUAACACCGAAGACCGCAUGGUCUUCGGUUGAAAGGCGGCCUUUGGCUGUCACUUGCGGAUGGGCCCGCGGCGCAUUAGCUAGUUGGUGAGGUAACGGCUCACCAAGGCGACGAUGCGUAGCCGGCCUGAGAGGGUGACCGGCCACACUGGGACUGAGACACGGCCCAGACUCCUACGGGAGGCAGCAGUAGGGAAUCUUCCGCAAUGGACGAAAGUCUGACGGAGCGACGCCGCGUGAGCGAAGAAGGCCUUCGGGUCGUAAAGCUCUGUUGUGAGGGACGAAGGAGCGCCGUUUGAACAAGGCGGCGCGGUGACGGUACCUCACGAGAAAGCCC
rnacentral:rRNA from 1 species